GGGGUUGUGGCUCAAAGAUAGAGUGCUCGCCUAGCAUGUGUGAGGCCCUGGGUUCAAUCCUCAGCACCA
rfam:Ictidomys tridecemlineatus contig027105, whole genome shotgun sequence.